UACGGGGGGAGCAAGCGUUGUUCGGAUUUACUGGGCGUAAAGGGCGCGUAGGCGGUCAGCACAAGUCAGUUGUGAAAUCUCCGGGCUUAACUCGGAAAGGUCAACUGAUACUGUGCGACUAGAGUGCAGAAGGGGCAACUGGAAUUCUCGGUGUAGCGGUGAAAUGCGUAGAUAUCGUAAGGAAGACCAGUGGCGAAGGCGGGUCUCUGGACAGUUCCUGACACUGAGACACGAAGGCCAGGGGAGCAAACGGG
rnacentral:rRNA from 1 species